rnacentral:rRNA from 1 species
ACACAUGCAAGUCGAACGGAGCACCCUUGAUUGAGGUUUCGGCCAAAUGAUAGGAAUGCUUAGUGGCGGACUGGUGAGUAACGCGUGAGGAACUUGCCUUUCAGAGGGGGACAACAGUUGGAAACGACUGCUAAUACCGCAUGACGCAUUUUGAUCGCAUGGUCGUAAUGCCAAAGAUUUAUCGCUGAAAGAUGGCCUCGCGUCUGAUUAGCUAGUUGGCGGGGUAACGGCCCACCAAGGCGACGAUCAGUAGCCGGACUGAGAGGUUGACCGGCCACAUUGGGACUGAGAUACGGCCCAGACUCCUACGGGAGGCAGCAGUGGGGAAUAUUGGGCAAUGGGCGCAAGCCUGACCCAGCAACGCCGCGUGAAGGAAGAAGGCUUUCGGGUUGUAAACUUCUUUUAAGUGGGAAGAGUAGAAGACGGUACCACUUGAAUAAGCCACGGCUAACUACGUGCCAGCAGCCGCGGUAAUACGUAGGUGGCAAGCGUUGUCCGGAUUUACUGGGUGUAAAGGGCGUGCAGCCGGGCAUGCAAGUCAGAUGUGAAAUCUCAGGGCUUAACCCUGAAACUGCAUUUGAAACUGUAUGUCUUGAGUGCCGGAGAGGUAAUCGGAAUUCCUUGUGUAGCGGUGAAAUGCGUAGAUAUAAGGAAGAACACCAGUGGCGAAGGCGGAUUACUGGACGGUAACUGACGGUGAGGCGCGAAAGCGUGGGGAGCGAACAGGAUUAGAUACCCUGGUAGUCCACGCUGUAAACGAUGGAUACUAGGUGUGCGGGGACUGACCCC